rfam:Ovis aries breed Texel chromosome 13, whole genome shotgun sequence.
UCUCUGGUGGUCCAAUGGUUAAGAAUCCACCUUGCAAUGGAGGGGACACAGGUUCAAUCCCUGGCCAGAGAA